GAUAGCUCGUACUCCCCGAAAUGCUUUUAGGAGCAGCGUGUGGGUGAGUUUACUAGAGGUAGAGCUACCGAUUGGACUAGGGGGAGUCACAUCCUACCAAAUCCAGACGAACUCCGAAUGCUAGUAAAUAUACCACGCAGUGAGGGCUUGGGUGCUAAGGUCCAAGUCCGAGAGGGAAAGAACCCAGACCUACAGCUAAGGUCCCAAAAUCUAUACUAAGUUGAACUAAGGAGGUUCAGUUGCUUAGACAGCCAGGAUGUUGGCUUGGAAGCAGCCA
rnacentral:rRNA from 1 species